AGGCCCAUCGGACUCUGCAGCCUGUCCAGAGCAAGAUGUGUCAUCAGCAGUUGGUCAUCUCCUGGUUUUCCCUGGUUUUGCUGGCAUCUCCCCUCGUGGCGAUAUGGGAACUGGAAAAAGACGUUUAUGUCGUAGAGCUGGAUUGGUACCCUGAUGCCCCCGGAGAAAUGGUGAUCCUCACCUGUGACACCCCUGAAGAAGACGGCAUCACCUGGACCUCAGACAAGAGCAGUGAGGUCUUAGGUUCUGGCAAAAACCUGACCAUCCAAGUCAAGGAGUUUGGAGAUGCUGGCCAAUACACCUGUCACAAAGGAGGCGAGGUGCUGAGCCAGUCACUCCUGCUGCUUCACAAAAAGGAAGAUGGAAUUUGGUCCACUGAUAUUUUAAAGGACCAGAAAGAACCCAAAAAUAAGACCUUCCUAAAAUGCGAAGCGAAGAAUUAUUCUGGACAUUUCACCUGCUGGUGGCAGACGGCAAUUAGUACUGAUCUGAAAUUUGUCGUCAAAAGCAGCAGAGGCUCCUCUGACCCCCGAGGGGUGACGUGUGGAGCAACGACACUCUCUGCAGAAAGGGUCAGAGUGGACCACAGGGAGUAUAAGAAGUACGCGGUGGAGUGUCAGGAGCACAGUGCCUGCCCAGCUGCUGAGGAGAGCCUGCCCAUUGAGGUCGUGGUGGAUGCCGUUCACAAGCUCAAGUAUGAAAACUACACCAGCAGCUUCUUCAUCAGGGACAUCAUCAAACCCGACCCGCCCAAGAACCUGCAGCUGAAGCCAUUACAGAAUGCUCGGCAUGUGGAGGUCAGCUGGGAGUACCCCGACACCUGGAGCACCCCACAUUCCUACUUCUCCCUGACAUUCUGUGUCCAGGUCCAGGGCAAGAACAAGAGAGAAAAGGUAAGAUAAAGUUUUCGUGGACAAGACCUCAGCCACAGUCAUCUGCCACAAGGAUGCCCAGAUCCGGGUGCAAGCCCGGGACCGCUACUAUAGCUCAUCUUGGAGCGAAUGGGCAUCUGUGUCCUGCAGUUAGGGACCAAUCCUAGGAUGAAACCUUGGAGAAAAACUGGAAGAUAUUAGGCAAAAAUUUUUAAAGACAUGAUGGAAUAGACCCAAAAUAAUUUUUACCUGAGUUGCUUUUUAAAAUUUGUUUAAGAUAAUAAUGAUGUCUUUACUGUAUUUUUAUAUUUAGAAGCUAAAUGCCCACUGAAACAAUCAGCUAAUUUAUUUAUAGAUUUUUCAGCUUUCAAGUUGCCACAGAUCUUAAUGCUAUUUAAAUAUUUAAAUAAUUUAUGUAUUUAUUAAUUUAUUGCUGUUAUUUAACAAUUGUGUGCCAGGAUGUACUGAAUGUUUUCUAUUCUGAUGGCCCAAUCCAUAAGGAUGGGGUCUCAUUGUGAAAAAU